rnacentral:rRNA from 1 species
CCUACGGGAGGCAGCAGUGGGGAAUAUUGCACAAUGGGGGAAACCCUGAUGCAGCGACGCCGCGUGAGUGAAGAAGUAUUUCGGUAUGUAAAGCUCUAUCAGCAGGGAAGAAAAUGACGGUACCUGAUUAAGAAGCCCCGGCUAACUACGUGCCAGCAGCCGCGGUAAUACGUAGGGGGCAAGCGUUAUCCGGAUUUACUGGGUGUAAGGGGAGCGUAGACGGCAGCACAAGUCUGGAGGGAAAUGCCGGGGCUUAACCCCGGAACGGCUUUGGAAACUGUGCAGCGAGAGUGCAGGAGAGGUAAGUGGAAUUCCUAGGGAAGCGGUGAAAUGCGUAGAUAUUAGGAGGAACACCAGUGGCGAAGGCGGCUUACUGGACUGUAACUGACGUUGAGGCUCGAAAGCGUGGGGAGCAAACAGGAUUAGAUACCCGGGUAGUC